rnacentral:piRNA from 1 species
UCUGAAGGUUUCGAAAUUACC